GACGAACGCUGGCGGCGUGCUUAACACAUGCAAGUCGAACGGUGAAGCACCUUCCUUUUGGUGGGUGCGGUUGAGUGGCGAACGGGUGAGUCACACGUGAGUAACCUGUCCCCUUCUUCUGGAUAACCGCAUGAAAGUGUGGCUAAUACGGGAUAUUCUUCGCCUGUCGCAUGGCGGGCCUGGGAACGAUUUUGUUUCGGUGGGGCGUGGGCUCGCGGCCUAUCAGGUUGUUGGUGGGGUGAUGGCCUUCGAAGGCGAUGACGGGUAGCCGGCCUGGGGGGGUGGACGGUCACACAGGGAGGGAGACACGGCUCAGACUCCGACAGGAGGCAGCAGUGGAGAAUAGGGCACAGUGGGCACAAGUCUGAAGCAGCGACGCGGCGGGAGCGAUGGAGGCCGGCGCGUGAUAAACCUCUUUCGGCAGUGAAGCAGUCCGGUCCCUUUUGUGGGUGGGUUGACGGUAGCUGGAUAAGAAGCGCCGGCUAACUACGUG
rnacentral:rRNA from 1 species